CUACGGGUGGCUGCAGUGGGGAAUAUUGGACAAUGGGGGAAACCCUGAUCCAGCAAUGCCGCGUGUGUGAAGAAGGCCUGCGGGUCGUAAAGCACUUUCGGUUGGGAGGACUGCUUCUAGCACUAAUAUUGUUGGAAGUUGACGUUACCUUCAGAAGAAGCACCGGCUAACUCCGUGCCAGCAGGCCGCGGUAAUACGGAGGGUGCAAGCGUUAAUCGGAAUUACUGGGCGUAAAGCGCGCGUAGGCGGCUAGAUCAGUCGGGUGUGAAAGCCCCGGGCUUAACCUGGGAACUGCAUCCGAUACUGUCUAGCUUGAGUACAGGGAAGGAGAGUGGAAUUCCACAUGUAGCGGUGAAAUGCGUAGAUAUGUGGAGGAACACCAAUGGCGAAGGCAGCUCUCUGGCCUGAUACUGACGCUGAGGUGCGAAAGCGUGGGGAGCAAACAGGAUUAGAUACCCGUGUAGUC
rnacentral:rRNA from 1 species